AACGAACGCUGGCGGCAUGCCUAACACAUGCAAGUCGAACGUGAUCCGGAGCUUGCUCCGGUGAAAGUGGCGCACGGGUGAGUAACGCGUGGGAACCUGCCCAGAGGUAGGGAAUAACCGCGGGAAACUGCGGCUAAUACCCUAUAUUCCCUUCGGGGGAAAGAUUUAUCGCCUUUGGAUGGGCCCGCGUCGGAUUAGCUAGUUGGUGAGGUAACGGCUCACCAAGGCGACGAUCCGUAGCUGGUCUGAGAGGAUGAUCAGCCACACUGGGACUGAGACACGGCCCAGACUCCUACGGGAGGCAGCAGUAGGGAAUAUUGGACAAUGGGGGCGACCCUGAUCCAGCAAUGCCGCGUGAGCGAUGAAGGCCUUAGGGUUGUAAAGCUCUUUUACCCGGGAUGAUAGUGACAGUACCGGGAGAAUAAGCCCCGGCUAACUCCGUGCCAGCCGCCGCGGUAAAAC
rnacentral:rRNA from 1 species